GUGCUGCGAGAGACAGAUAAUGGGUAUAAGCAACGGAUAGAAAGUUUAAGCUAAAAUCAAGGGAAAUAGAAGUCAGAUGCAGCAGACGCGCUAAUCGAAAAACUCAUCUUUCGCCAAGAUGGAUCGUAGUAGACAUUAUCUGAUAAGGUGGAAUGGAAAUUGCCAGACAUACAAACACGCCGUGUGAAUCAUAAACAAAAAACAUCUUGGUAAUUUUGCCACUCGCUUUUGAGUUUAAAUGCGUUUUAGAUUGUAGAUACUUCACAUUCGUGUAUCUCUGUAUUCAUAAGUGUUUUGUUUGGAGCCGUGCGAGUCCAAAGUUCAAUUAUUGCACGCUACAGAUUCGUUAAACAUACAUAUAUAUAUAAAUUAAUUAGUAUACAGCUCUCGAUGUCAUAACACUUUACAUGCAAUUGAUGAUUGACGUCACUGAGCGCAGCUUUAUUCAGCUGGGGCUAGGGUUAUCAUUGCCGAGACUAACGAUGGAGUCUGUCUGUGAUUGUGGCUCUGAGUCCAUCCAAUGGAUGGCAUUCAAUUCUAGAACGGCCUCGAGUGGUUAGGAAGCAACGAAGACAAAGUGCACCUUUCCUCACUCGAAAGAUAAUUGCUCCGAUAAAUAAUUUGUAAGCUUCGCCAGUCAGCUGCAGUUCUACACCUUCGCCGGGUUUGGAUUCGCAAAUAAAUUGCACAACUAUUUGA